rnacentral:miRNA from 1 species
ACUGACCUUUGGAUGGUGCUUCAA